GAUGAACGCUGGCGGCGUGCCUAAUACAUGCAAGUCGAGCGAACAGACGAGGAGCUUGCUCCUCUGACGUUAGCGGCGGACGGGUGAGUAACACGUGGAUAACCUACCUAUAAGACUGGGAUAACUUCGGGAAACCGGAGCUAAUACCGGAUAAUAUAUUGAACCGCAUGGUUCGAUAGUGAAAGACGGUUUUGCUGUCACUUAUAGAUGGAUCCGCGCCGCAUUAGCUAGUUGGUAAGGUAACGGCUUACCAAGGCAACGAUGCGUAGCCGACCUGAGAGGGUGAUCGGCCACACUGGAACUGAGACGCGGUCCAGACUCCUACGGGAGGCAGCAGUAGGGAAUCUUCCGCAAUGGGCGAAAGCCUGACGGAGCAACGCCGCGUGAGUGAUGAAGGUCUUCGGAUCGUAAAACUCUGUUAUUAGGGAAGAACAAAUGUGUAAGUAACUAUGCACGUCUUGACGGUACCUAAUCAGAAAGCCACGGCUAACUACGUG
rnacentral:rRNA from 1 species